UCAGUUGAUGAUUGGUUUACCACCAAGAUCUCUGAGGCCUUAGUUUUCUACUGUUUAUCUACCAACUCAUAUUUGAUA